UACGGAGGGUGCAAGCGUUGUCCGGAUUUAUUGGGUUUAAAGGGUGCGCAGGCGGUGCGUUAAGUCAGUGGUGAAAUCUUCCGGCUCAACCGGGAAACUGCCAUUGAUACUGGCGCACUUGAGUACGGACGAGGUAGGCGGAAUUUAUGGUGUAGCGGUGAAAUGCAUAGAUACCAUAAAGAACACCGAUAGCGAAGGCAGCUUACCAGACCGUAACUGACGCUCAGGCACGAAAGCGUGGGGAGCAAACAGGAUUAGAAACCCUAGUAGUCC
rnacentral:rRNA from 1 species